GCUAUGUGAUGUUAAAACACCGGUUCCCGUACGAUCACCAAAGUGAAGCAACGUCGAGCCUCGUUAGUAAAUAGAUAGGUGAUCGUUUGGAAAUACCAGGUGCUGUAAG